rnacentral:tRNA from 1 species
GCCCAGGUCGCAUAAUCUGGUAUUGCGCAGGAUUGCUAAUCCUGUGUCUCUCGGGAUUUGCAGGUUCAAAUCCUGCCCUGGGCG